UCAACAUUAAAACACUCGGUCCUGACUAACACCAGAGAUUACACCAAGCUAGUUUUUGUACUUAAAUUAUUCACAUCGAUUUCUGGCUGCUCAGAAGUGUGCUGUGCUAACAUUCUUAUGUUAGCUAGUGGUCUGUUAGCUAACAGAAAUCCACAGAAAUCCAACCUGACUGCAUUGUGUUAAACUGAAACAGCUUCAUGUUACGAAACUUGUCAACACGCCUUAACGUUACAGAUGUUAGCUUUAUAAAUUCUGGGACAUGUGAGAGCACUGUUAUGUGUGUUUAGCCCGUGUCACCCCCUGGCUAACUCAACACUGUUAAGAAAACGCUGAUGACAACUCCUGCUGAUGUCAGAGUCCAGUCUCUCCAUCAUCUCAGGUCUCACUGUGUAAAGAGAACCUGAACCUGAGAUCCUGUGUACGACUAAGUGGAUGCUGCUGAUGGAGACUGACUGACUUCACUACCACCCUGGCUGUCCUCUUCACAUCUUGCUAUAGUUCACAGUUGAAUAUCAGGAGGAAACAAUGACAUUGCUGGAGUCUGUUCAAAAGAUAUUGCUCAUCAACAUUUUUACAACACAUCCUAUUUCUUUUACAUUCAUUUUACUUGCAUUUUCCCUGUGAUUGUUAAGAUUGCUGUUAAGAUUAAGAUGAAAUAAAGAAAAUACAAACUACUACAAAUAAUAAUUCAGAUGUUUUCUUAAAAAGGACCUGUAAACCUUCUGUAAAUGAAGACAACAUAAUGUCUAUAAAUCAUGUGGAAUCAUAAUAUGAAGGAGGGAAAAAACAGUUGUAGAUUUCUCUACAAAAUCACUAGAGAUAUAAAAACUUUACAUCAGACUGUCAGUGGAGAUCACAGCACAUCAGUUUCACCAUAAACCAUGUUCUCUGUAGCUCUGCUGCUGCUGUUGGCAGCUGGAUCCUGUGUGAAGUGUCAACAGUUGACACAGCCAGCCUCAGUGACUGUGCAGCCAGGUCAACGUCUGACCAUCACCUGUCAGGUCUCUUAUUCUGUUAGUUGCUUUUACACAGCCUGGAUCAGACAGCCUGCAGGGAAAGGACUGGAGUGGAUUGGAAUGAGAUAUACUGGAGGCUCUCACUACAAAGAUUCACUAAAGAACAAAUUCACCAUCUCCAGAGAUGACUCCAGCAGUAAGCUCUAUCUACAGAUGAAUAGUCUGAAGACUGAGGACACAGCAGUGUAUUACUGUGCCAGAGACACAGUGAGAGACAGUAAUAGGAGACUCAUACAAAAACUACUUCCUCUAUUUACCUCAAAGACUUGGAACAUUCAAUGGUCUAAAUAGCAAUAAUAAUUGUCCUGAAUUGCUGAUUUUAAUGUUUUGGUUUUUUUUGUUUUCAUUCAUAACCACUAGAACCACCACUGAUAACAUUCAAUAACAUUCAUUCCUUUAUUAUCACUUUUUUGCAAUACUGAUUGUGAUGAACUGUCAGUGAUGAAAAGUAGUGAUUGGCUGAAUAUUUAAG